ACUGCUCUCACCACCUCUCUACUCCUUUCUCUACAUCGCUCCGCUUCCCCUCACCCACUUUUCUCCGCGCGGACAGAGCUGAGGGGGCGGGGGCUCCCUCAAGGGAGCGUUUCUAGAGCUCCGAGGCAGCUAGUAGGGGGGCACCACUUUCAGAUAAAAACAUAGACCUGAAUGGCAUCAUCCAGUAUCCAAGGAAACCAUAGCCUUCCUUGUGGUCACACGAUGACUGCCAGCAGCUGACACCAGGGCUGCCUGAUUUCUUGUCCAUGUGCUGCAGAACUAUG